UGGGCUGUAUCUUAUAUGAAUAGCACCACUUUUAUAAAGUGAGACAUAUUUUAAAUAGUCUGCCUUGAUCCGAGCUGGACUAGGACAGAGGG
rfam:Bacillus sp. TS-2 DNA, contig: BspTS2nb13.